CGACGUGCCAACUCGCCGCCAUCUUGGGGAGGUAAUGACUCGCCUGUAAACAAACGCAAGUGAACGGUGGAGCUGCGGCUUUUCUGGUUAAAAAGCACUUUAGCGUUUACAUUUCUUAACCAAUUCCGUUGAGUCGUUUAUAUAUUCAAGGGUUUAUGAUCUACGUGGAGUACCAAAAAAAGUUUUGUCUCCAUGUUACUUAGAAUCUCGAUAGUUAGAUAUUUUCCUGCAGUAGUGAAUAUUGUACGAUUACGGCUCAGAACAAGAUGAACUAGAAUCAGAGUUUUAUCAUCGGAGGUAAGGAGAGAAUUGAAGUGGAGGAGUUUGAUAGGGGGAUAUCUAAACAAUUGUGCACAAAAGGGAGACCAUUCAACUAGAUGAAGUUAUAUGGAGGUCGAUAUGGAGGUCUAGAUGGAGUGAUAUGGAGGGGUG